UUUCAAAAUAUUACUUUCCUUCGCAUGUUCAAACGAAGAGUCGCCUACCUGCACGACACGAUGAUGGUGGUGAGAAACCAUAUUAUCCAGUCAACGUUCCAAAUAUAUUUCAACAAAUUGGGCGACUAAGUGGAAAAUUCCAGAAAAGUCGACUAACAAAGUAGGAGUAUGAUCACUUGCAUAUAUAUGUACUUAGGAACUGCGAGGAAGUUCUAAUAUCAAAGUCGAAUUUUCGACGAUGUUUAUAACAAUUUAUUGGAUUUGUUGGCUGAAACUAUAAAAUUCGCAUGCAAAAUAAUAUUUUAUAUUUCCAAUGGGGUUGCGAAUGUUUAAAGUUUAUCCGUUAAAAAUCUGUCGGGAACAAAAACAAUUAUGCGGCAAUAUUUUGUGGGUUCCGACAGAUUUCCCUCUACUUUUGCCGUCAGAAAUAUUUUAUUUAUUACCAUCAAUGUUUUAUUUUCCCUUUAAUUUUUACGCUUCUUCAUCUCUCCAAAACAAGGCCCUUAAAUUCCUCUUUCAGAUCUCUCAAAUCUUACUCACUAUCCCUCAAAUAUCUCUUAAUAUUCUCUCAAUUCCUCUCAAAUCUCAAUUUUCCUUUAAUUUCUUCCAGAUCUCAAAUCUCAGCUCCCCUCAAUCUCUCUCAAUCUCUCCACUGUCUCCCUCAAACUCUCUGCAACUAUGUAAGUGAACCUUCUCUACCAAUUUCAGUUCGUGAUUUAGUUAUGAUUUGUUAACAUUUGGAUGCGUAGGUUGAUAGAUAUAGAUUGUUAGUGAUACGUUAGGUUCAUAGAUUUGAACUAAAUUUAGGAUGUUUGGACUAAAACCUAGAUGUUGAGGUUUUUAGAUGAGAAUAUUACACUGUGGGACACUUUUACAAAAAUAUUUGUCGUUUAUGCCCUUCUAAAAGAGAAGGCACUUUACCUUGUUAAAUUGUCCAAUUUGCCCUCAACAUUAUUUUCUCUCUCUUUAGCAACAUUUCUUCUGUUUUUCGCCAUCUCUUUUACGAAAUCUUCUCUUCUUAAUAUCUCUCUUUUUCUAGAAUCAAAAUCAAAUAUUAUAAGACAACCUCAAUAUUCAAAAUUCAAAUUUGAAUCUUAUAGGGUUUAUCAUCUUCUUCCCUAUCUCUCAACAAUCUAACGGUGACAAUAAACUAGACUAUCUUUACCAAACCCCACUCCGCUUCCUCCGUAACUUCCAGCGUCACCUCCUCCUUAGCCACCUCCCUCACGGCCACCACAACCUCCACCAGAUCUGUAACCUCUGCUAUGUUUCUCGUAACCACUAGCGCCUCUUCCAUUUCCGCCACCACCUCCAUCAUGGGCUCCUCCACCCCCUUGAGCAAAUGGAUGGUUCUGGUAAUUUGAUUUUUGUUUUUUAAUUUCAAUCUCAAGUCGAGAGAGAGAGAGAGAGAGAGAG
rnacentral:sRNA from 1 species